rnacentral:lncRNA from 1 species
UAUUUCAAAAAAUAUAAUCUGUUUAUUCUUUUAACAGUAUUCGAAAACUUUAAUAGACAAAAUUAGAUCAAAACAGUAAAAACGCCUAAUAAUCCAAAUCAUAUUCCAAAACUUAUAGGAAUUUCGAAUUUUCCUAAGAACGCAUGAUGAUCCCUAAAUAAUAAAACAAAAUUCUGGAACCCGAAACCUGAAUCUUAAGGUUUUAUACAGAUUUCGGACAUCAAGGUUACCAAUUUGUUUGAUUUCGAGACAACGACUAACAUUAUUUUUUUCUUUUCUUUUUCCCGAAACAGUGAUCUCAGGACAUUUAAAAGACUCGAAAAUGGCUGUGAUGGUUUUUUUAAGUUUUCAAAACUCUGUUUUCCAAAUUUCAAUCCCAGAAUAAUGGAUACGAAAACAGAACUGAUUUAUCAACAUAUGCUCUGAUACCACGUGUUGAUCAGUUCUGUUUUAGACAUAAUAGAAAACAUGAAAACAUACCCGUGAUUGUAGAACAGGCCAGCAGAGAAUCCAGAUGAAGACGCAACAAUAGAGUUUGACAUGUUUGUCAGCUUGAUCUGGUUCCUCCUUAGGAUGCAAACUAAUGAUGGUGAUGAUAAACCGAAAAGGGUAUUCGGUUAUGGAGAGAGGGGGCGAUUUCAUGAUGAUGUUAUUGUGAUUAGUGUCUAACCCUUUAACCCUCUAAUUAUCUCCUUAUAUAUGCACCCAAGAGGAAACCCUAAUUAGUUAAUAAUGGUAAUAUAGUCCAUCAACAAUUACCAACUAAUUAUUUAAUAGGUUGUUAUAUAUUUUGAUCUAUAUAAUGUAAAUGAUUAUAAUGGCUUCUAGAUUAAAUAUUACACCAUAAUAUAUUUAAUCUUAGAUUUUUAAUUAUGGAUGUUGAACCAUCUUUUGUAUAAGUGGUGGUUGCAAUUUCAACGACUAACAUGGUGA